AUUGAACGCCGGCGGCAUGCCUUACACAUGCAAGUCGAACGGUAACAGGCCUUCGGAUGCUGACGAGUGGCGAACGGGUGAGUAAUACAUCGGAACGUGCCUAGUAGUGGGGGAUAACUACUCGAAAGAGUGGUUAAUACCGCAUGAGAUCUACGGAUGAAAGCAGGGGAUAGCAAGACCUUGUGCUACUAGAGCGGCCGAUGGCAGAUUAGGUAGUUGGUGGGAUACAAGCUUACCAAGCCGACGAUCUGUAGCUGGUCUGAGAGGACGAUCAGCCACACUGGGACUGAGACACGGCCCAGACUCCUCCGGGAGGCAGCAGUGGGGAAUUUUGGACAAUGGGCGAAAGCCUGAUCCAGCAAUGCCGCGUGCAGGAUGAAGGCCUUCGGGUUGUAAACUGCUUUUGUACGGAACGAAAAGCCCCGGGUUAAUACCCUGGGGUCAUGACGGUACCGUAAGAAUAAGCACCGGCUAACUACGUGCCAGCCGCCGCCGUAA
rnacentral:rRNA from 1 species